AUUGAACGCUGGCGGUAGGCCUAACACAUGCAAGUCGAACGCGAAAGUCCUUCGGGAUGAGUAGAGUGGCGGACGGGUGAGUAACGCGUAGGAAUCUAUCCUGUAGUGGGGGAUAACGUUUCGAGAGGAACGCUAAUACCGCAUACGCCCCAAGGGGGAAAGCGGGGGAUCUUCGGACCUCGUGCUAUAGGAGGAGCCUGCGUCGGAUUAGCUAGUUGGUGAGGUAAAGGCUCACCAAGGCGACGAUCCGUAGCUGGUCUGAGAGGAUGGUCAGCCACACAGGAACUGAGACACGGUCCGGACUCCUACGGGAGGCAGCAGUGGGGAAUAUUGCGCAAUGGGGGAAAGCCUGACGCAGCCAUACCGCGUGUGUGAAGAAGGCCUUCGGGUUGUAAAGCACUUUCAGUGGGGAGGAAAAGCUGGUGGCUAAUAUCCAUCGGCCGUGACGCUACCCACAGAAGAAGCACCGGCUAAUUCCGUGCCAGCCGCCGCCGUAACAC
rnacentral:rRNA from 1 species